rnacentral:rRNA from 1 species
GAUGAACGCUGGCGGCGUGCCUAAUACAUGCAAGUCGAGCGAAUGGAUUAAGAGCUUGCUCUUAUGAAGUUAGCGGCGGACGGGUGAGUAACACGUGAGUAACCUGCCCAUAAGACUGGGAUAACUACGGGAAAGCGGGGCUAAUACCGGCUAACAUUUUGAACCGCAUGGUUCGAAAUUGAAAGGCGGCUUCGGCUGUCACUUAUGGAUGGACCCGCGUAGCAUUAGCUAGUUGGUGAGGUAACGGCUAAGCAAGGGAACGAUGCGUAGCCGACCUGAGAGGGUGAUCGGCCACACUGGGACAGAGACACGGCCCAGACUCCUGCGGGAGGCAGCAGUAGGGAAUCUUCCGCAAUGGACGAAAGUCUGACGGAGCAACGCCGCGUGAGUGAUGAAGGCUGUCGGGUCGUAAAACUCUGUUGUUAGGGAAGAACAAGUGCUAGUUGAAUAAGCUGGCACCUUGACGGUACCUAACCAGAAAGCCACGGCUAACUACGUGCCAGCCGCCGCAGUAA